UACUCAUACAUAUAUGAGUAAUUGCAGAGGGUGCUGCAUGUGUAAAUUAGUUUGUCUUUAAUCCAGCUUUAGAUUUCUACCUAAAAAUAAAGAUUUUAAUGUUAAAUUAGGUGGAAAUUUUGAAAACAAUGGACGACACAUUGAACAACUCCAUUGACCUCUCCCUCAGAUCAGACGGUCAUUCGAUUCCAGAUGUUUCAGCAGAGUUCGCAGUGGUAAAGACAAUCUACAAUAAGCUUAAGAAUGACUCAGAUUAGGAAAUCUCAUGAAAAGGCUCAUCUGAAGUCAUGGCAAGGACCACCAUAAGGGAUACUGAAACAACUUUGCUCCAAGAUUAUUAAUUUAAAACAAAAUUUAGUAAUUAUUAUAGUAAUUAAUGAUUUCUUAAAAAGCCAUAGUUGUAAAAAAUUUUAAAAAGUCUGUUUUUUUUUACUUUGGAAGACUUGACACUUGUUUUAGUGGAUGACUGUUUGUUAAACUGGAGAAAGAAACAUGUCACAAGUGAAGCUUUAGCUAAGACUGAAUCUUAUUACUGUAUAAUAAACAUGAAGCGUUUCAAAUGUUUCACAGACGAUUAUCACAGUUUUCUUUAAUCAAUGUAGAAUCACUAAUUCAAGGUUUCAGAUUGUAUGCAUGUUCUAUACAAAGCUAGUUUUAGCAAGCCUGAAAACCAAUAAAAUGCACCGCUUUUGUGUUUAACAAAUAAAGAUUUUAAUUAGUUUCAAACUGUGUUAAAAAUAGACAGUUUUGGCUGUACAUGUUUUUAUAUUUAGCUGUUGUUGUCAAGUUGGAAUAAAUAAUAUGAAUUGAUCUUUUUUUUCCCACUGUAUGAUGGACACAAUCAAACAAGCCUUACUUCUCCCUAAGAUAAAAUCCACCUUUUGAAAACAAACCUAACAAUAAAAGAAAGUGUCACACCUCU